CGGGGAGCUGCAGGCACCAUGGGCUUGCCUUGGCAGUGUCUGCCAGCAACACAGCUCUGCACACUUGGGUUUUCAGGUCGGGUUGUGCCCACACACCACAAAACCCACGGAGCCCUGCAACCACGAGGCAUCGCUGCACACCACGCACUGAGGUGGACAGAGGCUGCAGAGACCUCUCUGAGUGCCUGGCAGGUCCCAAUGCUGGCAGGGCCUGCAGACACUCCAAGGGUCCAGGUGAGGCAGCUGCCAGGCAUCACUGCAGUGAAACUUUGGCACCAGAUGGAAGCCUACUGCACCCUGAGCUCCCAUUGGUAUGGAAACCUUCAACAGCACGGAAACCGCCUUUGAUUUUAAGUCCAAACAACUAACCACUGUUAUUCUUGGACAUUUAUAUUACAUCUUCCUCAUAUUUUCCAUCUCCUGGAUGAUUAAAAACAAAUU
rnacentral:lncRNA from 1 species